rnacentral:rRNA from 1 species
UACGUAGGUGGCAAGCGUUGUCCGGAUUUACUGGGCGUAAAGAGCGCGCAGGCGGUCGUUCAAGUCGCGUGUGAAAGCCCCCGGCUCAACUGGGGAGGGUCACGCGAUACUGAUCGACUCGAAGGCAGGAGAGGGAAGUGGAAUUCCCGGUGUAGUGGUGAAAUGCGUAGAUAUCGGGAGGAACACCAGUGGCGAAGGCGACUUCCUGGCCUGUUCUUGA